UACAGAGGAGGCAAGCGUUGAUCGGAAUCAUUGGGCUUAAAGCGCGUGUAGGCGGUCUCGUAAGUGCUACGUGAAAUCCCACGGCUCAACCGUGGAACUGCGCGGCAUACUGCGGGACUUGAGGUCGGUAGAGGUGCCUGGAACUCUAGGUGGAGCGGUGAAAUGCGUAGAUAUCUAGAGGAACGCCGGAGGCGAAAGCGGGGCACUGGGCCGAUUCUGACGCUGAGACGCGAAAGCGUGGGGAGCAAACAGG
rnacentral:rRNA from 1 species